AUUGAACGCUGGCGGCAUGCCUUACACAUGCAAGUCGAACGGCAGCGGGGGAGAAGCUUGCUUUUCCUGCCGGCGAGUGGCGAACGGGUGAGUAAUACAUCGGAACGUGCCCUGUAGUGGGGGAUAACUAGUCGAAAGAUUAGCUAAUACCGCAUACGACCUGAGGGUGAAAGUGGGGGACCGCAAGGCCUCAUGCUAUAGGAGCGGCCGAUGUCUGAUUAGCUAGUUGGUGGGGUAAAGGCCUACCAAGGCGACGAUCAGUAGCUGGUCUGAGAGGACGAUCAGCCACACUGGGACUGAGACACGGCCUAGACUCCUACGGGAGGCAGCAGUGGGGAAUUUUGGACAAUGGGCGAAAGCCUGAUCCAGCAAUGCCGCGUGUGUGAAGAAGGCCUUCGGGUUGUAAAGCACUUUUGUCCGGAAAGAAAUGGCUCUGGUUAAUACCCGGGGUCGAUGACGGUACCGGAAGAAUAAGGACCGGCUAACUACGUGCCAGCAGCCGCAGUAA
rnacentral:rRNA from 1 species